GAAGGCACGCUGGUGUGUAGGUGAAGCCCCUGCGGGUGGAGCUGAGACCAGUCGAAGAUACCAGCUGGCUGCAACUGUUUAUUAAAAACACAGCACUGUGCAAACACGAAAGUGGACGUAUACGGUGUGACGCCUGCCCGGUGCCGGAAGGUUAAUUGAUGGGGUUAUCCGUAAGGAGAAGCUCUUGAUCGAAGCCCCGGUAAACGGCGGCCGUAACUAUAACGGUCCUAAGGUAGCGAAAUUCCUUGUCGGGUAAGUUCCGACCUGCACGAAUGGCGUAAUGAUGGCCAGGCUGUCUCCACCCGAGACUCAGUGAAAUUGAACUCGCUGUGAAGAUGCAGUGUACCCGCGGCAAGACGGAAAGACCCCGUGAACCUUUACUAUAGCUUGACACUGAACAUUGAGCCUUGAUGUGUAGGAUAGGUGGGAGGCUUUGAAGCGUGGACGCCAGUCUGCGUGGAGCCAACCUUGAAAUACCACCCUUUAAUGUUUGAUGUUCUAACGUUGGCCCCUUACCGGGGUUGCGGACAGUGUCUGGUGGGUAGUUUGACUGGGGCGGUCUCCUCCCAAAGCGUAACGGAGGAGCACGAAGGUUAGCUAAUCCUGGUCGGACAUCAGGAGGUUAGUGCAAUGGCAUAAGCUAGCUUGACUGCGAGCGUGACGGCGCGAGCAGGUGCGAAAGCAGGUCAUAGUGAUCCGGUGGUUCUGAAUGGAAGGGCCAUCGCUCAACGGAUAAAAGGUACUCCGGGGAUAACAGGCUGAUACCGCCCAAGAGUUCAUAUCGACGGCGGUGUUUGGCACCUCGAUGUCGGCUCAUCACAUCCUGGGGCUGAAGUAGGUCCCAAGGGUAUGGCUGUUCGCCAUUUAAAGUGGUACGCGAGCUGGGUUUAGAACGUCGUGAGACAGUUCGGUCCCUAUCUGCCGUGGGCGCUGGAGAAUUGAGGGGGGCUGCUCCUAGUACGAGAGGACCGGAGUGGACGCAUCACUGGUGUUCGGGUUGUCAUGCCAAUGGCACUGCCCGGUAGCUAAAUGCGGAAGAGAUAAGUGCUGAAAGCAUCUAAGCACGAAACUUGCCCCGAGAUGAGUUCUCCCUGAGACUUUAAGUCUCCUGAAGGAACGUUAAAGACGAUGACGUUGAUAGGCCGGGUGUGUAAGCGCAGCGAUGCGUUGAGCUAACCGGUACUAAUGAACCGUGAGGCUUAACCUU
rnacentral:rRNA from 1 species